GAUGUGAAUAGAAUCGUCGAAGAUAAAUUUUCAAAUGCCUUUCUUUGUGAAGGGUACAUGAGUAAGCAGGAAGGGAGACUUAGACACUUCACAAUUCCCAGUCACAUGACCAAUGCAAACAUGCCCUUCUGCCCCUGAAUACAGAAUAGAAGGAAAGAUGGUCAGUAAUUCAAUAUCAGUAUGGAAUUUAAGUAUUUGUUUGGAGUAUGAUGUUGUAUUUCUUUCUUUCUUUUCAAUGUUUGGUUAGACUUUGGAAUUGUUACUACUUCCCUAUUUUCAAUCUUACUUUCUUAGUAACUAAACUAGCUAUAAACAUAUAAAUUUUUUCAAAUAACUAGCUUAUAAAGGACUUGAUCUGUUGAUCAUCAUCAUUAUCAAAUAUCGACCUUUAGGAAGUAGCACAAACCCAACAAUAUAGUAUAACACAAUCACAGUAAUAACAGGAACUCAACAGACUAAUAACAGUAAAAAAAAUUAGAUCUCGAUACCUUAAUUCUUCUCACUGGGGUUUUGCCCAAAUAGACCCUCAAAUUGACAGACUAACGGAAACUGAGAAAAAAAAAUCGAGGAUUACCCCAAAUUGAUCGGUACCUUAGCAAUAAGGAGGGAGGAGUCUGGUAUAUAUGAACACAAGAGCAAAACAAAGUACUCAAAGUAGCUUCCAUGGAGUAAUGCCGUGAUGGAGGGCGGAAGAAGAAACAGUCGACAGACAUUCCAUUAAGUCUUUG
rnacentral:lncRNA from 1 species